CCUACGGGAGGCAGCAGUGAGGAAUAUUGGUCAAUGGCCGGAAGGCUGAACCAGCCAAGUCGCGUGAGGGACGAUUGCCUUUUGGGUUGUAAACUCCUUUUAUAAGGGAAGAAAAAAUGCUACGUGGAGCAUGAUGCCUGUACCUUAUGAAUAAGCACCGCCUAACUCCUUCCCAGCAGCGCCGGUAAAACGGAGGAUCCGAGUAUCUUCCGGAUUUAUUGGGUUAAAGGGGUGCUUAGGGGGUUGUUUAAGUUAGUGGUUAAACGUCGGGGCAUCCCCGUGAUUUGCCAUUAAUACUGUAAGGCUCGAGUGCAGACGAGGUAGGAGGAAUAAGUUAAGUAGCGGUGAAAUGCUUAGAUAUCACAUAGAACACCGAUAGCGAAGGCAGCUUACCAGUCUGCGACUGACGCUGAUGCACGAGAGCGUGGGUAGCGAACAGGAUUAGAUACCCUGGUAGUC
rnacentral:rRNA from 1 species